GUGGGUGGGGGCCCCCAGGACCCUGUAACUCGAUGCUUGGGAGUGUGCGAAAAGGGGUGGUCAGACAUCUGCUCGAAAAUUGCUUCCUUUCUUUCUACUUUCAGUUUUUCUACCAGGAAACAUUUAAAAACGACUUGCAUCACAAAUGGUCUUUUUGGGGGGUAAAGGAGUCUGGGUUGGAAAUGGCACUCUUCCUUCGCCAACGCGGAGGACCUCCCUGGUGGAAACCCAUCAGGCCGGGAGAGGUGGGGUUCCCGCUAUUCGGGGGUGAGUGGGUGGGUGGACGGUGGGGUCCUGGAUUGAGGGAGUCGCCCACGGGACUCCAAAUGUGGGCGAAAGGGUGCUCUCCACAUUUUAUCUCGUCUCUUUAAAGAAUAACUUAAGGAGAAAGGUAACCACUGUAACCCGCCCUGAAAUUUCCAACCGAUUCCAACCCAAGUAAAACUCAAUUUCCCCAGGAAAAAGGGUGGCGGUGACGUGGGGUGGGGUGAGGGGAGAAAAUGCUGAGCCUCCGGGGGUGAGAGAGAAGAGGCUCCACUCCCGCGGCGGGGGCUCUUCCCCGACUCCCAGGAUCAUCUCCGAUUCCCCAGGAAACCUCCAACCCGCGGCUACCGCAGCCCCGGCAGGAUGUUCGCUACGCCGGCCGCGUGUCCGGAAUUCCCGGGCCACCUAGGAAUUACCUGCCCCGCACAGCUGGCCGGCUCGGCUUCUUCCAGGAAUUAAAGAAACAAAUGGCGCGACCCCCACUGCGUUCGGGCAGAGGAGACCGCAGCGAGGAUGGAGCCUCUCACACUGACUCCACUCAAACUCUUCUUAAAGGGGGUAGGCGAGUCCUGGGGGAGCCGAGGAACGAGCCCCCACCGUCUGCCCGAGGACCUGAGCCAGGCCGAGGGCAACACAGGUAGCGGAGGAGCCGCCGCCGGCUGCGCCGCCCGCCCUCCCGUGUCCCCACCCCCCCAUCCCAUCCCCCGCCCCUCCCAGCCCCAGGCUUUGCAGCGAAGGAAGCGUCGCGGACGUCCCACCCCCGCAGGGAGCUGCGCCCGCUGCCCCCGCCCGGCCCCGCACCACCCGCCCCAGCGGCCCCUCCUCGCUCCCCAGACCAUCGGCUCCGGCGGAGAGAAACGGGAGCAACAGUGCCUUUGCCCCCCCCCCCGCCCCCCUCCUCCACUUUUUUUUGUUGUUGUUGUUGCUUUCCCACGCUGGCUGAAUGUGACUUGACCCCAUUUCAAAAAGUUUGACAUAGUGCUUCAACAUUUCCGCAUUCCUCCGCGACUACAAAGGCUGCAGCCGCCUCCUUCUGCUUUCUGUCUCUGCUCUCUGUCUUCACACUCAAUGAAAUCCUUCAUGUGCCUCUCUCGAAGCCUGCCAAGCACCGCAAGGGUCGCCACCAGCGCCGCGACCAGAGGCCGCACCGGGGACCGCGGCUCCCGCGUGCGCGCACACACGGAUGCGCCCACGUGCACACUGACCGGCGGGCUGCGGGGCCGAGGCUGCUCCCUGCGGGGUAUGCGUUUGCGUUUGAACUCCGAUAUUGGAAAUUCGAAAAGUAAACUGGGAAGCUAAAGCGAACCUGCCUUGAGUCCAUGCGGGGCUCCAAGCCUGGGCACUUGGCAGCCUGCGUGCACUCCUCCAAGUGUGCAAAACUCCCCCGCGGGGGUUGCCGGCGAGAAGCCUGCGUUCACGUUUACCUCGUGGUGGGAAAGGUGGAGCCCGCACCCACACCUCGGCGAGCGGGAGCGGGAGCUUUCGUGGGAAAUCAAUAUGGGGCACGGGAACACAUUCUCCCGCACAGAGUCCCCAGGGGCAGUGCAUUUUCACCCCUAAAUGUGGAUUAUUGUAGGACCGUCCGAGUGGAGUUUAAAUUCCGUUUCAAAAUCUG